CACAGCCGCCGCGCCGGGCAGUCGGCAUCGCCCAUACUGGGAAUGAAUAUGGCAUCCAUGGCAUGAAUAUGGCACUCCUGGCACAGACAUGAAGGCAUCCCCAGCAUGAAUAUGGCAUUCUUGGCAUAAAAAUGGCACUCCUGGCACAGACAUGAUGGCAUCCCCGGCAUAAUUAUGCCAACCCUGGCAUGAAUAUGGCAUCCCUGGCACAAACACGAUGGCAUCUCUGGCAUGAAUAUGGCAUCCCUUGCACGAAUAUGGCACCCCAGCAUAAAAAUGGCAUCCCUGGCACAAACAUGGCACUCCUGGCACAGACAUGAUGGCAUCCCCAGCAUAAAUAUGCCAACCCUGGCAUGAAUCUGACAUCCCCGGCAUAGACAUGAUGGCAUCUCUGGCAUGAAUAUGGCUCUCUGGGAAUGAAUAUGGCAUCCCUGGCACAGACAUGAUGGCAUCCCCAGCACGAAUACGGCAUCUCUGGCAUGAAUAUGGCAUUCCUGGCAUGAAUAUGGCACCCCUGGCACAGAUAUGAGGGCAUCCCUGGCAUGAAUAUGGCAUCCAUGGCAUGAAAUGGCACUCCUGGUAUGGACAUGAUGGCAUCCCCAUCAUAAAUAUGCCAACCCUGGCAUGAAUAUGGCAUCCCUGGCAUAAAAAUGGCACUCCUGGCAUGAAAUGGCACUCCUGGCACAGACAUGAGGGCAUCCCUGGCACGAAUAUGGCAUCCCUGGCAUGAAUAUGGCACUCCUAGCAGGAAUAUGGCACUCAUGACACAGACAUGGUGGCACCCCCAGCAUAAAUAUGGCAUCUCUGGCAUAAAAAUGGCACUCUGGGCAUGAAUAUGGCAUCCCUGGCAUAAAAAUGGCAUCCCUAGCACAAACAUGGCACUCCUGGCACAGACAUGAUGGCAUCCCCAGCAUGAAUAUGGCAUCCCUGGCACAAACAUGGCACCCCUGGUAUAGACAUGAGGGCAUCCGUGGCACGAA
ensembl:lncRNA